rnacentral:snoRNA from 1 species
GGGGUCUUGGGCUGAAGCUGCAGUGUGUCUGUUGGCUGUACGCUGCAGCUGGCCUGAAUGGACCGAGACUAUAACAGGAGGCUAACGAGCCGUCCUGGCAGUUGCAGGUGUGAGCAUUCAUACAGCUGUCUGAUGCUCAUGUAUGAUACUGCACACAAAC